GGCGGGGAGAAGCUGCAGGACGCCUUCUACACGUUCCAGGAGCUGGCGGAGCGCGGCUGCCCCUCGCUGCUGCUGCUCAACGGGCAGGCGGCCGCCGCCAUGGCCCAGGGCCGCUGGGAGCAGGCCGAGGGGCUGCUGCAGGACGCGCUCGACAAGGACAGCGGGCACCCCGAGACGCUGCUGAACCUGGUGGUGCUGUCCCAGCACCUGGGCAAGGCCCCAGAGGUCACCAAUCGUUACCUGUCCCAGCUGAAAGAUGCUCACAAAAACCAUCCCUUCAUCAAGGAGUACCAGGCCAAGGAGAACGACUUUGACCGCCUGGCCCUGCAAUAUGCACCCAGUGCCUGAGCCCUGGGCAGGGAAAAUCCCUCUGGAACAGGGAAAUUCCCACCUGGAACCCAAAAAAAUCCCUCUGGAACCCAAAAAAAUCCCCUCUGGAAUACAGAAAUUCCCUCUGGAACAAGGAAAAUCCAUCUGGAACCCAAAAAUUUCCCUCUGGAAUCCAGAAAUUCCCUCUGGGACAGAGAAAAUCUCACCUGGAACCCAAAAAAUCCCCUCUGGAACAGAGAAAAUUCCAACAUUUCCACGGAUCCAUCCCAAAUUCCGCAGCAUCUGCCAGCCCUGCUGGGAUUCCUUUUGGGAUAAACCCCAAAACAAUAAUGAAUAAAUAAAAAUAAAAAUAAAAUAAAAAAAUAAUCCUCCUGUAAU
rnacentral:lncRNA from 1 species